rnacentral:rRNA from 1 species
UAGCCGUAAACGAUACUCGCUGGGUGUCGGCCACGGUGCGACCGUUGUCGGUGCCGUAGGGAAGCCGUGAAGCGAGCCACCUGGGAAGUACGGCCGCAAGGCUGAAACUUAAAGGAAUUGGCGGGGGGAGGCACCACAACGGGUGGAGCUUGCGGUUUAAUUUGGAUUCAACGCCGGAAAUCUUACCGGGACCGACAGCAAAAUAGAAGGCCAGGCUGAAGACUUUGCCGGAUUAAACUGAGAGGAGGUGCAUGGCGUCAGUGACU